rnacentral:rRNA from 1 species
UUUGGAAGUAAAAAUCGUAACAAGGUCUCCGUAGGUGAACCUGCGGAGGGAUCAUUACACAAAUAUGAAGGCGGGCUGGAACCUCUCGGGGUUACAGCCUUGCUGAAUUAUUCACCCUUGUCUUUUGCGUACUUCUUGUUUCCUUGGUGGGUUCGCCCACCACUAGGACAAACAUAAACCUUUUGUAAUUGCAAUCAGCGUCAGUAACAAAUUAAUAAUUACAACUUUCAACAACGGAUCUCUUGGUUCUGGCAUCGAUGAAGAACGCAGCGAAAUGCGAUAAGUAGUGUGAAUUGCAGAAUUCAGUGAAUCAUCGAAUCUUUGAACGCACAUUGCGCCCUUUGGUAUUCCAAAGGGCAUGCCUGUUCGAGCGUCAUUUGUACCCUCAAGCUUUGCUUGGUGUUGGGCGUCUUGUCUCUAGCUUUGCUGGAGACUCGCCUUAAAGUAAUUGGCAGCCGGCCUACUGGUUUCGGAGCGCAGCACAAGUCGCACUCUCUAUCAGCAAAGGUCUAGCAUCCAUUAAGCCUUUUUUCAACUUUGACCUCGGAUCAGUAGGAUCCCCCC